AUGGUGAUUUCCAGCAAGGUAUAUGGCCCGGACAAUAUCCUGCCAGAGUCCUUUUUGUGUUUCAAGUUUCCACCACCAUUUGACCAUCAGGCUAAUGUUUUGUUUCCGCAGGUCCUUGAUACCCUAACCUCCUUUUUCCUUGGAUCUACAAAUUCUACUCCACCUCACAAGGUGGGCAAGGUGGUGCCGGACGAGUACGACGAGCGCUCGUAUUGCCUCUACGACACCGACGCCUCCACCGUCUAUGGCGUCUGCGCCUUCUUGGUGCUCCUCCUCACGCAGCUGCUGGUCUUCGGCGUCACCCGCUGCCUCUGCUUCGCCGUCUUCGCCGUCUCCUGGUGCGCCUCGCUCAAACCCUAG
rnacentral:rRNA from 1 species